GAUGAACGCUGGCGGCGUGCCUAAUACAUGCAAGUCGAGCGAACAGAUGAGGAGCUUGCUCCUCUGACGUUAGCGGCGGACGGGUGAGUAACACGUGGAUAACCUACCUAUAAGACUGGGAUAACUUCGGGAAACCGGAGCUAAUACCGGAUAAUAUAUUGAACCGCAUGGUUCAAUAGUGAAAGACGGUUUUGCUGUCACUUAUAGAUGGAUCCGCGCCGCAUUAGCUAGUUGGUAAGGUAACGGCUUACCAAGGCAACGAUGCGUAGCCGACCUGAGAGGGUGAUCGGCGACACUGGAACUGAGACACGGUCCAGACUCCUACGGGAGGCAGCAGUAGGGAAUCUUCCGCAAUGGGCGAAAACCUGACGGAGCAACGCCGCGUGAGUGAUGAAGGUCUUCGGAUCGUAAAACUCUGUUAUUAGGGAAGAACAAAUGUGUAAGUAACUAUGCACGUCUUGACGGUACCUAAUCAGAAAGCCACGGCUAACUACGUG
rnacentral:rRNA from 1 species